GGGUAUGUCCAGUCUUUUUAGUAGCCUCUUAGUUAAUGGCCAAAGUUAGCAUUUAUAUUUGUUUGGGUGUUAAAAAAUGCAAAAAAACAAUUAUGAACGUAAACUUUGGCCAGUGUUUGUGACUAAGUGGCUACUAAAAAAGAGUAAACAUACUCCAUUUGCAAAACUUUGGGUUAUUUUCUUUUGCAAAUGGUAUGCCAUCAUGGGUGAAAUUCUCAUUCCUGGGCUACCAUACGCUCUUAAAGGCAAAAUAACUAAUCUGGCAAAUUUCAAAAAAAAUGGAAAUGCAAGCCUUAUAUUUGACCAUGUAACUUUAAAAAAACCAAAAACUAUAAAACCUGGGGGUACUGUUAUACUCGGGAGACUUCGCUGAACAGAAAUAUUAGAGUUUCAAAACAGUAAAACGUAUUACAACAAUAUCAGUGAAAGUGCAGUUUGUGUGAAAAAAAAUAAAAAAAAUUAUAUAUAUAUAUAUAUAUAUAUAUAUUUUACUUUCACUGACCAUAUCGUUGUGAUACAUUUUACGGUUUUGAAACACUAAUAUUUGUAUAGCAAAAAAACAAGUCGCAAGAGAGAGUGCUGAGGACGGACAACAGCUCAAUUAGCCUGCCCUUCGGUGGAUGCCCGCUCAGUUAACGAUCGUUUCAGCCUUGUUAGGCAUCAUCAGUGAGGCAUAGCUGAUAUCUCUCUAGGCACCGUGAGCAAGGGGCUCAUGG